AAGAAACUAGUCAACGUGCUGGAUGCUGUUUUCAAGCCUGAAGUUCGCUGAUCCAGAGCAGGUUUUCUACAAGCAUGUCUAAAGCCCAACAGCUGAGGGACAGGCUGAAACAACUGCCAACAGCUGCUGAUGAAGAAGUAUUUGAAUUGUUAGCAGGAUUGAUCGCAAACUAUGAAGAAGAAAUUCAUUGUUUAAAAGAAGAGAACAAAGGACGGAAAGUUCUGGAAGCUGCUUUUAAUCCUCGAGUUCGCUUGUACAAAGCAGGCUUUGACCCGUUCUGGCAUCGAACUGAUGAGUUCACAGAUCUUCGUCUGUGGGAUUUCAGCCCAAGGAAGCACUCAAGUUGAACAAGUCUGCCUUUGACCUUGGUUUCCCUGGCUUUUUUUCGCA